AACGAACGCUGGCGGCAUGCCUAACACAUGCAAGUCGAACGAAGCCUUCGGGCUUAGUGGCGCACGGGUGCGUAACGCGUGGGAAUCUGCCCUUGGGUUCGGAAUAACAGUUAGAAAUGACUGCUAAUACCGGAUGAUGUCUUCGGACCAAAGAUUUAUCGCCCAAGGAUGAGCCCGCGUAGGAUUAGGUAGUUGGUGGGGUAAUGGCCCACCAAGCCGACGAUCCUUAGCUGGUCUGAGAGGAUGAUCAGCCACACUGGGACUGAGACACGGCCCAGACUCCUACGGGAGGCAGCAGUGGGGAAUAUUGGACAAUGGGCGAAAGCCUGAUCCAGCAAUGCCGCGUGAGUGAUGAAGGCCUUAGGGUUGUAAAGCUCUUUUACCAGGGAUGAUAAUGACAGUACCUGGAGAAUAAGCUCCGCCUAACUCCGUGCCAGCAUCCGCCGUAA
rnacentral:rRNA from 1 species